rnacentral:rRNA from 1 species
AUUGAACGCUGGCGGCAUGCCUUACACAUGCAAGUCGAACGGCAGCACGGGAGCAAUCCUGGUGGCGAGUGGCGAACGGGUGAGUAAAGUAUCGGAACGUGCCCAGUCGUGGGGGAUAACGUAGCGAAAGUUACGCUAAUACCGCAUACGAUCUACGGAUGAAAGCGGGGGAUCGCAAGACCUCGCGCGAUUGGAGCGGCUGAUAUCAGAUUAGGUAGUUGGUGGGGUAAAAGCUCACCAAGCCGACGAUCUGUAGCUGGUCUGAGAGGACGACCAGCCACACUGGAACUGAGAAACGGUCCAGACUCCUACGGGAGGCAGCAGUGGGGAAUUUUGGACAAUGGACGAAAGUCUGAUCCAGCAAUGCCACGUGAGUGAAGAAGGCCUUCGGGUUGUAAAGCUCUUUUGUCAGUGAAGAAAACUUUAGUAAUAACACUAUUAAAGCAUGACGGUAACUGAAGAAUAAGGACCGGCUAACUACGUGCCAGCCGCCGCCGUAA